GUUCUUCUAAGGAACUAUCGCUGCUGAACAAGGUAAGGUGUUUAUUAUUAUUCAUGCAAGAUGUGGCAGGGUAUGAGAGAAGUUGGAUAUUUGCACUUCCCCCCCUCCAAAUUCAGCAAUUAUUCUGUGUUGGGAUGGACAGAAUUUCAAACUAUCCAUUAGAGAUAGGCAUGGAGCCACCCUUCUAAAACAACAUUGGGUCCAUGUUCUUCCAUAUACUUGCUGCUUGGUGACUCAUCCCAAAGAAUCUGACAGAAAAUAGACAGAAUUGCUUUAUUGAUUCUUUACGUUUGUAUCUUAUCAUUCCUCCAGGGAGCUCAAGGUUCACACAAGUUCUCUGUAGAGAUUUAGGCUGAAAGAGAGUGAUAGGCCAAGGGACUGACCCCCUACCCAGUGAACUUCAUGAUGACCAAGUGGGAAUUUGAACCAUGGUUUCCUGGGUCCUAGUCCAACACUUUAACCACUAAGCCACAAUGGCUGUAGAUUUUGUCUUCAAUGCCAGACCAGUGUAGCAACUAGGGAGUGGGAGGACAAUAGCUGCAGGUGUUGAAUAGGUUCAAGGUGUUCAUCAAUGUAUUAUCUUUGCCAAGUCUUAAGGUGGGGAGGUAGUCUAGAUGUGUCCAAGUUUUCUCAGUCUUUGGGAAGGAGCGGAUUGUCUACCUACUGGCAGAAGCUUGCCUAGAUCUCAAGCAGAGGUUUCUCCCAGUUCAAACUGAAGAUGUCAGGAAUUGAAACUGGGACCUUCUGCAUGCAAAACAGAUGCUGUGCCAUUGAACUAUGGUUCUCCAAGACAUAGAACUGGUGACUGAGGGGUGUUGAAGAAUCAUUCAGAGACUGGUGGACCACACAGAGCACUAGCAGGAUCCCGAUGAGUCUAAUUCCAGUCUAUAUAUCAAGUCUAUGUGCAGCCCACCACCCUGGUUUUCCCAGUAGUGAUGUAUGGAAGUGAGAACUGGACCAUAAAGAAGGCUGAUCGCUGAAGAAUUGAUGCUUUUGAAUUAUGGUGCUGGAGGAGACUCUUGAGAGUCCCAUGGACUGCAAGAAGAUCAAACCUAUCCAUUCUUAAGGAAAUCAGCCCUGAGUGCUCACUGGAAGGACAGAUCCUGAAGCUGAGGCUCCAAGACUUUGGCCACCUGAUGAGAAGAGAAGACUCCCUGGAAAAGACCCUGAUGCUGGGAAAGAUGGAGGGCACAAGGAGAAGGGGACGACAGAGGACGAGAUGGUUGGAUAGUGUUCUCGAAGCUACCAGCAUGAGUUUGACUAAACUGCGGGAGGCAGUGGAAGACAGAAGUGCCUGGCGUGCUCUGGUCCAUGGGGUCACAAAGAGUCGGACACGACUAAAUGACUAAACAACAACAACAUGUGCAGCCCAUCACCCUGAUUGUGUGGCCCCUAGGUUCAUGAUGCAAACUUCACUAUUUUUUGCAAUCCCAGUCAAGCAGCAAAGACUAACAUCUCAUGAGCUCAUGGUGGGUCAUGAUAGGAGACCUACUGGUGGCCAGUAUAGAAGCCUGAUCUAAACGAUAUGUUUUGAAAAGUGUUUUGUGGUUCCUCCUCCAACCAUCUCUCUGUCUCCUUUACAGGUUCACCCUUCUACUCUUUAAAAAUGAGUUGCUGCUGUUGUGGACGUCGUGGCUGCUGCUGUUGCAACCAACGUAGGCCAAGAGUGGUCUACUAUGUCAGGAGGCAGAUCCCUGUUUCAUCCAGCUGUUGUGGCCACCGAUAUUCUUACAUCCCUUCACGAAUUUGCUGCUCUCGUGGAUCUCAGCUCCCCAUCCAGCAGUGCUGCCCACCAGGGAAGAGAUGCUAAAGAAAUCUCUGCCGGCAUUGAGAAACGCUCGAAAUCUCCAUCUCAACAGCUGGGUGGAGAAAGGCAUCAUGGAGAACCCCGAUUUGAAAACCUGUUUGUUCACCUCUUGCAAUCGCAUCUUGCUGAGUUAAAUGCCUGAAACCUUCCUCACCACCAUGAUCACCUCCUCUGCUCAACUGAACAAUUUCCAUUUGCUUUAUUCCUUGGAAUGAAUUCCUGAAUUAGUUUCUAACAAUUGAAUGAGAGGCAAUACUGUGCUUUUGAGCCACA
rnacentral:lncRNA from 1 species